GGAUAGGUGGCAGAGUCUGGUCGAUUGCGCUUCUUUGCUAAAGAAGUGGCGGCUGAAGCCGCUCGCGGGUUCGAAUCCCGCCCUAUCCGCCA
rnacentral:tRNA from 1 species